rnacentral:pre_miRNA from 1 species
UACAUCCCCUAUUUAUAGCAGUAUCAUAAGCAUUAGUGAUACAUCCCCUAUUUAUAGCAGUAUCAUAAGCAUUAGUGAUGUAUCACUAAUGCUUAUGAUACUGCUACUAAAUAGGGGAUG